rnacentral:rRNA from 1 species
ACGGCAGCGCGGGGCAACCUGGCGGCGAGUGGCGAACGGGUGAGUAAUAUAUCGGAACGUACCCUGGAGUGGGGGAUAACGUAGCGAAAGUUACGCUAAUACCGCAUACGAUCUAAGGAUGAAAGUGGGGGAUCGCAAGACCUCAUGCUCCUGGAGCGGCCGAUAUCUGAUUAGCUAGUUGGCGGGGUAAAAGCCCACCAAGGCAACGAUCAGUAGCUGGUCUGAGAGGACGACCAGCCACACUGGAACUGAGACACGGUCCAGACUCCUACGGGAGGCAGCAGUGGGGAAUUUUGGACAAUGGGCGCAAGCCUGAUCCAGCAAUGCCGCGUGAGUGAAGAAGGCCUUCGGGUUGUAAAGCUCUUUUGUCAGGGAAGAAACGGUGGGGGCUAAUAUCCCCCGCUAAUGACGGUACCUGAAGAAUAAGCACCGGCUAACUACGUGCCAGCAGCCGCGGUAAUACGUAGGGUGCAAGCGUUAAUCGGAAUUACUGGGCGUAAAGCGUGCGCAGGCGGUUUUGUAAGUCUGUCGUGAAAUCCCCGGGCUCAACCUGGGAAUUGCGAUGGAGACUGCAAGGCUAGAGUUUGGCAGAGGGGGGUAGAAUUCCACGUGUAGCAGUGAAAUGCGUAGAUAUGUGGAGGAACACCGAUGGCGAAGGCAGCCCCCUGGGUCAAAACUGACGCUCAUGCACGAAAGCGUGGGGAGCAAACAGGAUUAGAUACCCUGGUAGUCCACGCCCUAAACGAUGUCUACUAGUUGUCGGGUCUUAA